rnacentral:rRNA from 1 species
UGGGGAAUUUUGGACAAUGGGCGAAAGCCUGAUCCAGCAAUGCCGCGUGUGUGAAGAAGGCCUUCGGGUUGUAAAGCACUUUUGUCCGGAAAGAAAUCCUUGGCUCUAAUACAGUCGGGGGAUGACGGUACCGGAAGAAUAAGCACCGGCUAACUACGUGCCAGCAGCCGCGGUAAUACGUAGGGUGCAAGCGUUAAUCGGAAUUACUGGGCGUAAAGCGUGCGCAGGCGGUUUGCUAAGACCGAUGUGAAGUCCCCGGGCUCAACCUGGGAACUGCAUUGGUGACUGGCAGGCUAGAGUAUGGCAGAGGGGGGUAGAAUUCCACGUGUAGCAGUGAAAUGCGUAGAGAUGUGGAGGAAUACCGACGGCGAAGGCAGCCCCCUGGGCCAAUACUGACGCUCAUGCACGAAAGCGUGGGGAGCAAACAGGAUUAGAUACCCUGGUAGUCCACGCCCUAAAGCGAUGUCAACUAGUUGUUGGGGAUUGCAUUUCCUUAGUAACGUAGCUAACGCGUGAAGUUGACCGCCUGGGGAGUACGGUCGCAAGAUUAAAACUCAAAGGAAUUGACGGGGU